rnacentral:lncRNA from 1 species
AUGAAGAAAUUCAUAAUUACCCAUUUUGGGCUUGUCAUGCUUUGUACAGUGCUCUAUGCACGAACCCCUACUAAAUCCCUACUGCGUCAAAUUUUGGGAACUGUGGACCUGAUCAACCAGACUGCACAGUUAUCAAAUAUAACAGUGCCUAGAAUACGUGGACCUGGACAGGCAACGUGUGGGACAGAAUUUUUCUGUUAUGCUGAAAAGUCCCUGAAAACUGUAGAAAAUGUCACUGAUUUAUUAGACACACUCCAUAGAGAAUUGGGCAAUUACAACAGAAAGACUAACAUUACGUGUCGUGACACCAAUGCCGGGGACACUAUGGUCCAAAUCCUUCACUGCUGAGGACAUCAAAACAUGUACAGAAAAAGCUUUAGAGAAUGGCACUCAUGUGGCUCAUGUGGACCACCGCAGGAGACGACCAAAGCGAGCUAAAAUGUAAUGUUCUAUUUUGUGUAUUUCUGGUUUAACCUUUUAUUUACUUUUAUUUAUUUAUUGUAUUUAUUUGUAACCAAGGAAAUUACAUUUACAUGUUCC